UGUUACUUUUUGCACUUUGCCUUUUAUAAAAUAUAAAUUAUAGACAUUCAGUCACCUCUUCAGAAUUUGCCUCGAAUCACUAUUGCUAUUGGUUUGUGUAGAUGAAAAUGAAACUAUUUUUACCGUGCAGAAAUAUGCUGCUAAGGGGGGUCCCGAGUUCUUUUUUAUUGUGAACAUACAGGUUGAUUUGCUACUGGAAAGUGGAGAAUAUUUCUUAAGUGAUCAGACGAAUCAAACAAAGAAGUGGCAGGAGAAGCAAGAGAAACAAGCAGCUAAAGUGACUGAAACCAAAAGGAAACGAGAAGAGGCAUUUUUAUGAUCAACAAUAUUUUAUUGGAUUUGAUGUAGGAUGAUUGUAUGAUAGAUACUUUUUCAAUGUAGGAUGAUAAAUAAUAUUUGAAAUUAAUGAAUGACCUUUUUAUUA